rnacentral:rRNA from 1 species
GUGAGGAAUUUUCCGCAAUGGGCGAAAGCCUGACGGAGCAAUGCCGCGUGAAGGAUGAAGGCCUAUGGGUUGUAAACUUCUUUUCUCAGAAAAGAAUUAUGACGGUAUCUGAGGAAUAAGCAUCGGCUAACUCUGUGCCAGCAGCCGCGGUAAGACAGAGGAUGCAAGCGUUAUCCGGAAUGAUUGGGCGUAAAGCGUCUGUAGGUUGUUUAAAAAGUAUUCUGUCAAAGAUUAGGGCUUAACCCUAGAUAGGCAGAAUAAACUUUUAAGCUAGAGUUUGGUAGAGGCAGAGGGAAUUCUCGGUGGAGCGGUGAAAUGCGUAGAUAUCGGGAGGAACACCAAAGGCGAAGGCACUCUGCUGGGCCAAUACUAACACUGAGAGACGAAAGCGAGGGGAGCAAAUGGGAUUAGAUACCCGGGUAGUCC